UAUCUGUGACGGAUAACCCAGUGGAAGGGCAGCUGUCGGCGGGAAACCUUGCUCGGCUCGCGCCAACGGGUGAGCGUGUCUGGUUCGAAUCGUGGAGCGGCAGCCGCAACUCGUUGGAUAACCACGAUUGUUGCGCUGUCUUAAGCAAUGGAGAUGACCCCUCAGGGAAGCAAUUCUGCAAGGAGCUCUCCACUCUGUGAUGGCGGCGCCAGGUCGCACCUCCUCGUGCAAGGCAACUCGCUAUUGAGUUGUUCAACUGCAUU
rnacentral:SRP_RNA from 1 species